CUUGUUUCCAUUUGGUAGCCUAGGGAUAAUGAGGCUUGCUUCUUUAUAAACCCUGUAAGGACUACUAGUAAUAAUUUAAAAAAAUAGGUGCUAUGGUACUAAGACAGGUCAAGGCUGAAAGCAACUUAAAAGACUAGCAAGGAUCUAUAUUGACUAUCUAAGUGUGGUGAAUUGGCAGGCUACUCAGAGCAGAGAAAGCAGGCAUGGUGCAGAUAUGUUAAAUGAGCUGAUAAGUGGGUAUCACUCAAAGAUAGAAAUGAAAUAAAUUUCUCCUUUUUAUAGAAAAACAGAUACUUAGAAUAAUUUGGGCUGAUGCUCAAAAGUCAUGGUUUCUUAAAAUAUCUAGCCUUUGACUUAGUACAAUGUACCCAGUAAAGCUUCUACAUUGGGAAAAGGUUUGAAAAGGAAGGUGGGAGGAGAGCAAGUUUCUGGAGUAUUAAUGACUGUGCCAUUUGCCUCUAUACUUAGGGAAGAAAGUGAUCGUGGUUAGAAAAAAAAUCAGUAAAUUGAUUCAUGCAUUCCCUGUAUUACUAGUUCCAUUAAAACUCUAAUUACUAACAGUGAUUUAAUAAAACCUGUAUGUGUUUUCUAAGCAGCCUUUUAGGAUCCUGUAAUAAAUGCCUUAACAGAGCAGUAAAUUUAGCUAAGUAUUAAUUAAUCAGUAAUCAUUUUCUAUCAAGCAAACAAUAGUUGUAGACUUUGAAAGAGCAAAGGUUCUUUGUGUCUGUGUGUACCUGUAACACAUGUAGGAAGCCUCCAGAGACAGAACAGCUAAAACAUACGGACUAAAGAAGAGGGGGAUAUUUAACUGUAAGGGCUGGAUUUCGAUACAGCUGAGGAGGAAGUACAACUUCUCCCCUUCCCUCAGAUACUUCUCUGUCCGUGGGCAUACGACUCCAUCCAAUCCUGCACUGGGUGCAAGAGGAGCAGGCUGCUUGACCCAGUGCCCCUCCAUGAAGGGGUAUAAAUGUCGUGGAGUGGCAUUAUGUUGGCUGCCCUGAGCAAGCCUGAUCCUCCAGCAAAGCCUGGUCUCUGCAGAGGGAUGAAGUUAAAAAGAAACCUAAUAAAUGCUCGUGCCUUUA